UAGUCUACGCCGUAAACGAUGAUAACUCGCUGUUGGCGAUAUACAGUCAGUGGCUAAGCGAAAGUGAUAAGUUAUCCACCUGGGGAGUACGUUCGCGAGAAUGAAACUCAAAGGAAUUGACGGGGGCCCGCACAAGCGGAGGAACAUGUGGUUUAAUUCGAUGAUACGCGAGGAACCUUACCUGGGCUUAAAUGUUGAGUGCUUUAGCAGGAAACUGCUUUUUCUUCGGACGCUUAACAAGGUGCUGCAUGGUUGUCGUCAGCUCGUGCCGUGAGGUGUCGGGUUAAGUCCCAUAACGAGCGCAACCCCUAUUGUUAGUUGCUAGCAGGUAAUGCUGAGGACUCUAACGAGACUGCCAUCGUAAGAUGCGAGGAAGGUGGGGAUGACGUCAAAUCAGUACGGCCCUUAUGUCCAGGGCUACACACGUGUUACAAUGGAUGGUACAAGGGAAGCUACACAGUGAUGUGAUGCGGAUCUCAAAGCCAUUCAC
rnacentral:rRNA from 1 species